GGGCUAGAGCUCCCAGCCUCAAGUGAUCCUCCUGCCUCAGCCUCCUAAAGUGCUGGCAGAGGUGAGCCACUGGGCCUGGCCUCAGUUUAAUUUGAAUGGUGGUUAAAUAAUUAAUUCAAUGUGUAGAUUUAUUUGCUUUAUUUUACUUUAGGUUUUUAGAAUUUUUAAAGCUUUUUAUUUAGAAAUUUAUUUAAAGAUUUUAAAUUUUAUUUCUGGUUCCAAAAUCUAUCAUACAAAUAUAUCCAGAAAGGUCUAGCUUUUAUGCCCCUUUCAAUCCUUUCCCUUCCCCAUAACUAUUAAUUUUUAAACAUUAUUCUUUAUUAUUACAUUAAUUUAAUAUGUAUCACAUACAUAAUGCAUAUGUAUUCGUAUCCCUCCCUCCUUUUUUUUUUUUUUUGUUUGAGAUGAGGAUCUCACUAUGUUGCCCAGGCUGGACUUGAAAUCCUAAAUUCAAGCAAUCCUCCUGCCUCAACCUCGAGUAGCUGGGACUACAGGUAUACGCCUCCACGUUUGGCUCUUCCUUCCUUUUAGUAGGGGCUGCUGUCAUGCAAGGAGGUCUGGCAGUGGAGGAAGAAGACAUGAGCCUUGGGCCAGACUCUUACUGGAUUCCCACCCCACCUGCCCCGUCUUCAGCAGACAAGCUGGUACCCAGCACAAAGGCUCCAGCUGCUGAGCUGUGUGUGGGAGCCUGGUCUCUGGGUGCCCAGAAUGAAGGGUCAGACCCAGGUCACUGCCUGACUCUUUCUUUCAAGGACCGAAGUAAGAACUACAGGCCUAACAGUAACAUCCCUGGCUAUUUGUAGAAGUCCGCUUGGUCGGUCCAUGCUCUAUAACAUGAAUUUCUCAUACAACCCAUUUUUAGAUGGGGAAACAAGAGCUCAGAGAGGCUAGGUAACUUGUUCAAGAUCACACAGCUCUGAGUGCAAGUGUUCAAACAUAGUCCCCACUUUCCAUCCGUCUCCAAAUCCUGUGCAGUUUCUGGAAUAUUCUGCUGUCACUGUGCCUUGCACAAAUCCAGGUUUUGAUAAAUUCCUGGAUAAUAAAAGGCAGACAUGAGUCAACAUAUAACCAGCUCUUUCUCUUUGACUUCCAUAUUGCCCCAGGCCCACACGCGGACCUCUGCAUGAGGGAAGAGUGACAGAACUGGGUUUGUCUGAGAGGGUGAUGGCUCGGGGGGCCAAAGGGAGAGGUGAACCCUGCAUCCCAGGAGGGGUGAAUUCUCUGAUGUGAAUCAUCUGGGUGGUAGGGAGUAAUGGGUCCUGGGCAUGGUGGGGACUGUCACACCCUGAUGCGCUGUCCCAGUUAGGUUGGAGGAGGCUGGGAGGGCCAUCUGACCACAAUGCAGGUCUGUUGCGGACCUCAAGGAGCCUGCAGGGAGUGCAGCCACCUCAGGCACACACCUUGGUGAUAGAUUUUACUGCUCAGCUGCUGAAGCCAUUGGUCAAUGAUGCUCCUCACAGUCAGAGAUCUGAGAGGGGCAUUUUCACAGCCACCACAGACCUUCUGCCUCCCAGGGCCUCCUCACUGGCCUGGCCUGGAGGACUGCCACUGGCACCCACAGUUAGAGGGAAGGAAGUUUCAGGCCUCUGUAACCCAGGAGAGAAGUCCACUAGUCCAGUCCAGGCCAGGUGUCCAGCUCUGGUGGGUGGAACCAUUUGCCCAGCUGUCCUUUGGCUGAGGGUUGGGGCCUGACCUCUGAAGUGAAGGCACCCACAGAGCUGGCCAUUGAGGCAAAUGUCCAGAAUCCUGGGGCAUGGGCACCGGCAGGGGAGAUGAGGUCAUGUGAGAUGUAGGUGCCACUCUCUUGCAGAACCCACCCUCGCACCUUGGCACACAGUGGCUCCACGAGGCCAAGAGCUGGUCUCUUGUUUAUCUGGGUGUAGGGCGUGCACACUGCCUGGAACUGACAGUGUCAGGGACUUCUGCUGGCCAGGACAGACCCCAUGCCUACUCAAUGGCCAUCAGCCCUAGGGCAGCAACAUCAGGAUCUGUCUUCCCCAUUGGUCAGGGGGCUUGUGGUAGGUUCAAACCACUGAUGGCAAGCAGUCCAGGCUCUAGUGUUGGUUUGGGGUCUGGCUCUCUCACUAACCUGAGCAAGUCCCUUACAUCCCCAGGGCUCAGUUUCCUUAUCUGUUGAGUAGAGAUCAUCACACUGAUGGCGAAGAGGCCUUGUGGUAUGGAGGGUUUGGGUUCAACUUUUUUUUUUUUGAGCUGAUUUGAAUCCCAUUUCCCUGGUUAUUUGCUAUAUGGCCUUAGGCAAGUUACUCAAUCUCUUGAAGACUCAAUUUCCCAUCUACAAAAUGGGAGUGAAGAAGAAUCUCUUCUUCUUUCCAAGAAAUGUACAUGUGAGGAUUCAAUAAGGGAACGCUCAGGCAGCUCUGAGCACAGCAUCUGGAGCGUCACUGCGAUGUGGCAGCACGCUCUGCAGCAUGCAGGACAGACACACUCCUUCCUCUCUCCUCCUUCACCUCUUCCCCAGCCCCACCCCUCACAUCUCCUUGGCUAAUGGGUCAAGCAGUGGUCAGUGUCUGGCCAACAGUGGAGACUCAACCAUGCACAGAGAGUGAAAAUGCAGUGCGCACCUCCUGUCCAGGUAGCCCCAACCUCAUUCAUUCACUUCCAGAAUGGCAGGUGCUGUGCUGAAUGCCUGGGAAGAUGGCCCCAAUGUUCCUCCCCAAGGGAUUGCCAGUCACAUCAGCACAGCACGGGAUGGAUCCUGCUGUGCCAACACUCUCUGCAGGCUUGUGGGGACCCUGGCUGAGAUGUCUGGACACCUGGAUUUCAAUCCGGUCUUUGCCAUCCACUCCCUGUGUGGCCCUCCCCCGCAAACUAAAUAAAAAUUUCAUGAGUUGGGGAAGGAGACUCAAGGGGAAGUGAGACGAGAGGACGGAAGUGAGUUGAAGAGCAGGGAGGAGCCUGGAGCCUGGAGCCUGGGCCUCCCUGUGCUGUGAUGUGUGCCAGAGUGGAAGCGGAAGUGGAAGCAGAAGCAGAAGUGGUCCUGCCGGUAGGUGUGACUGGCCUCACAGAGCUGCCAGGAUGCACCUGAGUGCUCAAGAGGGUUUCCCACAGCCCCAGGUGGAUUGGACUCAGAAGCAUGUUUCUGAUGUGCUCAAGAGUGUGGCCCAGACAAGGCACAGAGGACAGGAGUGUCAGAGGCAUUCAAACAAGAGCGACUCCAUCCUGAACGGGGGCUGGGUAAAAUGACGCUGAGGCCUGCCAGGUUGCAUUCCCAGGAGGUUAGGCAUUCUUAAGUCACUGGAUGAGAUAGGAGAGGGGCACAAGAUACUGGUUACAAAGACCCUGCUGAUAAAACAGGUUGCAGUAAAGAAGCUCGCCCAAACCAAAAUGGCAAUGAAAGUAACCUCUGGUCAUCCUCACUGCUCAUUACACGCUAAUUAUAAUGCAUUAGGAUGCUGAAAGACACUCCCACCAGCCCCAUGACAGUUUACAAACGCCAUAGCAACAUCUGGAAGUUACUCUAUAUGACUUAAAAGGAAAAGGAACUCUCAGUUCUGGGAAAUUCCCACCCCUUUCCUGGAAAAUUCAUGAAUAAACCACUCCUUGUUUAGCAUAUGAUCAAGAAAUAACCAUAAAAGUAGCCAACCAGCAGCCCUUCGUGCUGCUCUGCCUGUAGAGUAGCCGUUGUUUUAUUCCUUUACUUUCUUCAUAAACUUGCUUCUGCUUUAC
rnacentral:lncRNA from 1 species